rnacentral:lncRNA from 1 species
AUUAAAGAUAAUAUACCUUUUAAAGACUUGAUACGUGUUGAAAAAUUUCAUCUUUCUGGAAAGAUUACAAUUUGAAUUCCUAUGGAGCCUCGUUUUGCUGCCUAGGCCGGAGUGCAGUGGCACAAUCUCGGCUCACUGCAACGCCCGCCUCCAGGGUUCAAGUGAUUCUCCUGCCUCAGCCUCCCAAAUAGCUGGGACUACAGGCACGCACUACCUUGUCCAGCUAAUUUUUGUAUUUUUAGUAGAGACGGGGUUUCACCAUGUUGGUCAGGCUGGUCUUGAAUUCCCGACCUCGUGAUCCAGAUGCCUCGGCUCCCCAAGGUGCGGGGAUUACAGGCGUGAGCCACUGUGCCCGGACUGAAACUGAUUUUGAACUUCUGUCUUCAGAAUUGUAUGCGAAUAAAUGUGUGUUCUUUUAAGCCAUCAAG